GUACACAAAAAUGCACAUGCUGUGAGCUCGAUGAGUAGGGCGGGACACGUGGUAUCCUGUCUGAAUAUGGGGGGACCAUCCUCCAAGGCUAAAUACUCCUGACUGACCGAUAGUGAACCAGUACCGUGAGGGAAAGGCGAAAAGAACCCCGGCGAGGGGAGUGAAAAAGAACCUGAAACCGUGUACGUACAAGCAGUGGGAGCCUCUUUAUGGGGUGACUGCGUACCUUUUGUAUAAUGGGUCAGCGACUUAUAUUCUGUAGCAAGGUUAACCGAAUAGGGGAGCCGGAGGGAAACCGAGUCUUAACUGGGCGUUAAGUUGCAGGGUAUAGACCCGAAACCCGGUGAUCUAGCCAUGGGCAGGUUGAAGGUUGGGUAACACUAACUGGAGGACCGAACCGACUAAUGUUGAAAAAUUAGCGGAUGACUUGUGGCUGGGGGUGAAAGGCCAAUCAAACCGGGAGAUAGCUGGUUCUCCCCGAAAGCUAUUUAGGUAGCGCCUCGUGAAUUCAUCUCCGGGGGUAGAGCACUGUUUCGGCAAGGGGGUCAUCCCGACUUACCAACCCGAUGCAAACUGCGAAUACCGGAGAAUGUUAUCACGGGAGACACACGGCGGGUGCUAACGUCCGUCGUGAAGAGGGAAACAACCCAGACCGCCAGCUAAGGUCCCAAAGUCAUGGUUAAGUGGGAAACGAUGUGGGAAGGCCCAGACAGCCAGGAUGUUGGCUUAGAAGCAGCCAUCAUUUAAAGAAAGCGUAAUAGCUCACUGGUCGAGUCGGCCUGCGCGGAAGAUGUAACGGGGCUAAACCAUGCACCGAAGCUGCGGCAGCGACGCUGAUGCGUUGUUGGGUAGGGGAGCGUUCUGUAAGCCUGUGAAGGUGUGCUGUGAGGCAUGCUGGAGGUAUCAGAAGUGCGAAUGCUGACAUAAGUAACGAUAAAGCGGGUGAAAAGCCCGCUCGCCGGAAGACCAAGGGUUCCUGUCCAACGUUAAUCGGGGCAGGGUGAGUCGACCCCUAAGGCGAGGCCGAAAGGCGUAGUCGAUGGGAAACAGGUUAAUAUUCCUGUACUUGGUGUUACUGCGAAGGGGGGACGGAGAAGGCUAUGUUGGCCGGGCGACGGUUGUCCCGGUUUAAGCGUGUAGGCUGGUUUUCCAGGCAAAUCCGGAGAAUCAAGGCUGAGGCGUGAUGACGAGGCACUACGGUGCUGAAGCAACAAAUGCCCUGCUUCCAGGAAAAGCCUCUAAGCAUCAGGUAACAUCAAAUCGUACCCCAAACCGACACAGGUGGUCAGGUAGAGAAUACCAAGGCGCUUGAGAGAACUCGGGUGAAGGAACUAGGCAAAAUGGUGCCGUAACUUCGGGAGAAGG
rnacentral:rRNA from 1 species